rnacentral:rRNA from 1 species
UGGGGAAUAUUGCGCAAUGGGGGGAACCCUGACGCAGCCAUGCCGCGUGAAUGAAGAAGGCCUUAGGGUUGUAAAGUUCUUUCGGUAUUGAGGAAGGUUGAUGUGUUAAUAGCACAUCAAAUUGACGUUAAAUACAGAAGAAGCACCGGCUAACUCCGUGCCAGCAGCCGCGGUAAUACGGAGGGUGCGAGCGUUAAUCGGAAUAACUGGGCGUAAAGGGCACGCAGGCGGUUAUUUAAGUGAGGUGUGAAGGCCCCGGGCUUAACCUGGGAAUUGCAUUUCAGACUGGGUAACUAGAGUACUUUAGGGAGGGGUAGAAUUCCACGUGUAGCGGUGAAAUGCGUAGAGAUGUGGAGGAAUACCGAAGGCGAAGGCAGCCCCUUGGGAAUGUACUGACGCUCAUGUGCGAAAGCGUGGGGAGCAAACAGGAUUAGAUACCCUGGUAGUCCACGCUGUAAACGCUGUCGAUUUGGGGGUUGGGGUUUAACUCUGGCGCCCGUAGCUAACGUGAUAAAUCGACCGCCUGGGGAGUACGGCCGCAAGGUUA